AAUUUUGGUCAACGGGGGAAACCCUGCUCCCGCCAUCCCGCGUGUAUGAUGAAGGCCUCCUGGUUGUAAAGUACUUCUGUUAGAGAAGAAAAUGUACCUCCUAAUACGCUGUACUGCUGACGGUACCUGCAGAAUACGCACCGGCUAACUACGUGCCAGCAGCCGCGGUAAUACGUAGGUUGCAAGCGUUAAUCGGAAUUACAGGGCGUAAAGCGUGUGUAGGCAGGUCGGGAAGAAAGGUGUGAAGUCCCAGGGCUCAACCUUGGAACUGCAUUUAUAACUGCCGAGCUAGAGUAUGUCAGAGGGGGGUAGAAUUACACGUGUAGCAGUGAAAUGAGUAGAUAGGUAGAGGAAUACCGAUGGCGAAGGCAGCCCCCUGGGAUAAUACUGACGCUCAGACACGAGAGCGUGGGGAGCAAACAG
rnacentral:rRNA from 1 species